GCCGGGGUGGCGGAACUGGUAUACGCGCUGGUCUUAGAAGCCAGUGGUUCACACCAUGCGGGUUCAAUCCCCGCCCCCGGCACCA
rnacentral:tRNA from 2 species